CAGACAGAAGACGAGUGAAGAGAGCAGGGGCCUCAUUUUUAAAAAUGUUCUUAGAUUUAUACUUGAACUUAGUCCUAAAAAAUCAUUUCCAACGGUCUGCUUAUGUUCGAUUCAUAAAAGAUACUGAGCAUAAAAAACCUUGCUUAUGCAGGUUCUAAUAAGCCCAUUUUUAACUUACGCACCUGUGAUCUAUAAAUCUCAAAUAACUUAAAAUUGAGUGCACCUGAAUGUGCCUUACAAUCAGAGAAUUCCCCUUAUAGAAUACUAGCACAAAUGAGGGUUUAGUCAGGAAUAGCCAUGGACCAAAAGAAAAGUAAACUUUUUGGAAGACGAGAUCACGGCAAUGGUAGAGGAGAUUGAAGACAGGCAACACGUAUUGUUCUGUGGACUAAAUAGUGGGUUGACAAACAAAGCCGAACAGGUAGCAUGCGAGUGUGUCGCCGCUGCAGUGAACGAGGUGGGGCAGCAAGACAGAACUGUGGCUGGUGUGAAAGACCUGGCACUCCAGAGUUUUCCCAAAUGGACCAGCGCAUCGGGGAAAUCAUUGGGGAAAGCGCAUACACUGGCACAUGCGCCGACCGCGACAGUGAAUGUUUAAAAAAAGCAGUAACAUUGGAAACGGUGAAGUCGGUGCGCGAAACCCCAACCACUGCAUCACUGGAUCACGAAACGGGGGAAGCUGCGUUGCAGCCCAUGCGCCCUCCACCCAGGGAUAAAGUGGGUGAGGCUCCCAAAGUAGCAGGUGCCAGGAGUGAGGGCGAAGGUUUGGCCACAGGUGUCGAGGGCCGUCCAUGUCUGCGUCCGUGCGCCAGGAUGAAGUCCGUGAGGCCCCAGUUCCCAAGCGUCGCAGACCCGCAGGUGCCAGGGGUGAGGGGGGAUGUUUGGCCACCGGUGUCGAGGGUUCAUCGACCUCUGUGUCCACGUCUACAGUUCGCGUGUUGACCGCCGCAGUCCUGCAAACCCACCCAAAGAAAACGCAGGGUUUUGAUUCAUUUACAUAAUGCAAUUGUUGAACGUUUUCCAUAACAUCAAUAAAAAGCCUAUGCUUUG